rnacentral:tRNA from 1 species
GGGAAUGUGGCUCAGUGGCAGAGCACUUGCCUCACAAGUAUGAGGCAAGUGCUUUAAUCCUC